UAUGUCAUUUUUCUUCAAAAGCAUGAUCUAUACAGCUAGUCCUUUAUGGGUACGAGGACAUCAGUGUUUGUGUGUGUGAGUGAGUGUGACACACACACACACACACACACACACACAUCCGCACACACAUCUCACAAAUCUCGCCUCCACGCACACUGCACAUGCUAAGAGCUGCCGCCUGCACAAAAAAACAAACAAAAAAAAUCACUCACACGCACACACUCACACGCACGCUCCCUUAGGUUGCCCCAUGUUGAUGUUCCUGAGUACCGCAAAACAUUUUCUGAAUAAAACGAAACAUAAACAUAAAUAAUAAAAGUGCAAUGUAUGAACGGACACACACCGUGGAUCAUUUGCCUGAGACCCGGUGAGACCAGAGAGAGGGAGAGAAGGACUAGCCGAAGUCACGGAGACCCUCAGAGAGUCGGGAUGACAUGAACAAAUGACUCCCUAUUCCUUCUCGUUUGGUCGCCAAUUGAUACGGAUACUAAAAUGUGUUGUGUGUGUUAAUUACCAUUCUAUUGCUAUUUGGUUUGUCAAAAUAAAAAAAGUGUUGUGUCGUAAGGCAAUGGUAGUGACAUUCUUGAUGAAAGGGAAGUUAUUU